CUGAACCAGCCAAGUAGCGUGAAGGAUGAAGGUCCUACGGAUUGUAAACUCUUUAUACGGGAAUAAAGUAUCCUACGUGUAGGAUUUUGUAUGUACCGUAUGAAUAAGCAUCGGCUAACUCCGUGCCAGCAGCCGCGGUAAUACGGAGGAUGCGAGCGUUAUCCGGAUUUAUUGGGUUUAAAGGGAGCGCAGACGGGAGAUUAAGUCAGUUGUGAAAGUUUGCGG
rnacentral:rRNA from 1 species